rnacentral:rRNA from 1 species
UACGAAGGGGGCUAGCGUUGCUCGGAAUCACUGGGCGUAAAGCGCACGUAGGCGGCUUGUUAAGUCAGGGGUGAAAUCCUGGAGCUCAACUCCAGAACUGCCUUUGAUACUGGCGAGCUUGAGUUCGGGAGAGGUGAGUGGAACUGCGAGUGUAGAGGUGAAAUUCGUAGAUAUUCGCAAGAACACCAGUGGCGAAGGCGGCUCACUGGCCCGAUACUGACGCUGAGGUGCGAAAGCGUGGG